AACGAACGCUGGCGGCAUGCCUAACACAUGCAAGUCGAACGAAGCCUUCGGGCUUAGUGGCGCACGGGUGCGUAACGCGUGGGAAUCUGCCCUUGGGUUCGGAAUAACAGUUAGAAAUGACUGCUAAUACCGGAUGAUGUCUUCGGACCAAAGAUUUAUCGCCCAAGGAUGAGCCCGCGUAGGAUUAGGUAGUUGGUGGGGUAAUGGCCCACCAAGCCGACGAUCCUUAGCUGGUCUGAGAGGAUGAUCAGCCACACUGGGACUGAGACACGGCCCAGACUCCUACGGGAGGCAGCAGUGGGGAAUAUUGGACAAUGGGCGAAAGCCUGAUCCAGCAAUGCCGCGUGAGUGAUGAAGGCCUUAGGGUUGUAAAGCUCUUUUACCAGGGAUGAUAAUGACAGUACCUGGAGAAUAAGCUCCGGCUAACUCCGUG
rnacentral:rRNA from 1 species